rnacentral:rRNA from 1 species
GCCAUUUUUUACCCAAUCAGCGGAUUUUAAAUUAUAAUAAUUAAUCUACACUAAACGAAACAUCCGUCUUACUCAGUAAAGGAGAUUAAAUUUUAGUAGAUACCUAUAAUAAUCCACACAAGUACUGUAAAGGAAUAUAAUAAUCAACUUUAACCAAGUAGCCUUUAAGCUGCGUACCUUUUGUAUCAUGGCUUAACUAGAUUUAUAAAUCUAAAUUAGAACCUCUCGAACCCUAAUGUGCAACCUUAUUUAUCUGUAUUAGCAAAUAUAGGGCUAAUUGUAGCAAAAAUUUCCCCAUAAAAUAAGGAAGAAAUGAAAUUUUAUUCGUAUUAGGCGAUAGCUAGUUUCUCUUAAAAGACAUAGAAGUGUCAAACUAUAUUAAAUACUUUAAACCUUCACUUUAAAAUAUUUUUAUAAUACUCAUAUUUUUGAGGAUAAGCUCAAAAAUAAAUUUUAUAUAAUACAUCUAAUUUAAAUUUAAGCUUGAAAAUAGCUAAAAUUCUUAAAUUUGUUAUAAUUUAUAACUAGACUUAAAGUAUGAUAUCUUUAUAUUUUUUACCAAGAGAAAUAAUCUAAACCAUUAAAGAUUAGUUUAUAUGUUAAGAUGAGUACUACCACCCAACAAUACUUCUACUUUAUCUAAUAUUAAUAUAUAUUUUGAUCCGUAAAAACUUCUUACUCAAAAUUUCUGUAAAGGAACUCGGCAAACUUUUUAGCCCUGCCUGUUUAUCAAAAACAUGGCUCUUUGAAACAUUACUCAUAAAGAGUCUGACCUGCCCAGUGAUACAUAAGUAUUCAACGGCCGCGGUACUCUGACCGUGCAAAGGUAGCAUAAUCAUUUGCCCUAUAAUUGAGGGCUAGUAUGAAAGGUUUGACAAGGGCUUAGCUGUCUCUACAGAAAUUCAUGGAACUUAUUUUUUAGAUGAAGAAAUCUAAAUAAAAUUAAUAGACAAGAAGACCCUAUCGAGCUUUAAAAUUAUCUAUGUCAUUAUGAAACUAUAAAUUUAGACUUCUUUUCAUAGAAAAUUUUGGUUGGGGCGACUAAGGAACAAAUAAAGCUUCUUCUUAAUUUUAACUCAUUAUACAAUAGAUCCACAACCGUUGUGAUCAAAAGAAUUAGUUACCGUAGGGAUAACAGCAUAAUCUUUUUUGAGAGCUCUCAUCGAAAAAAAGGUUUGUGACCUCGAUGUUGGACUAGAAUAUCCUGAUAGGUGCAGACGCCUUCAAGGGUUGGUCUGUUCGACCAUUAAAAUUCUACAUGAUCUGAGUUCAGACCGGCGUGAGCCAGGUCAGUUUCUAUCUUUAAUUUUUAAGUUAAUUCUAGUACGAAAGGACCGAACUAAAAUAAAUUUUAUUAUAAAAUGAAACCAUAUAAUCCUCAUAUUAAUUUCUUUACCUAGAAUAAAGAUGG